CUUGGCUGGGGAGUUAUUUGACGCCGCCGCCCCUGGCAGUCGGAAGUUGCCUGAGCAGAUCCCAGCCGGCUGGCCCGACUGGCCUUCGUCGUCCCUUGGCGCCCUGGGAGAGUCGCUGACGGGUGGACUGACGGACCGCCUGAGGACGGCCGGCCAGGGCGGUGAAAGCGCCAGCCCUAUGGCGCGGGUCGCGUGAGGCGGAAGGCCGAGGACGGCCGGCGGCGGCGCCCGCCCCGGCGAUGCGGGCCCCGCCCGUCGCCUCAGGUGCCAUUUGGAUUGUACUUUAGUGGCACGAUGUACUCUGAGUGGAGGUCACUGCAUUUGGUGAUUCAGAAUGAUCAAGGCCAUACCAGUGUGCUGCAUAGCUAUCCAGAGAGCGUUGGACGAGAGGUGGCAAAUGCUGUAGUCCGUCCUCUUGGGCAGGUGUUAGGUACCCCUUCAGUGGCUGGUAGUGAGAGUUUGUUAAAAACUGACAAAGAAGUAAAAUGGACCAUGGAAGUAAUUUGCUAUGGACUGACCCUUCCAUUGGAUGGAGAGACUGUAAAAUAUUGUGUUGAUGUAUAUACAGACUGGAUUAUGGCUUUAGUGUUGCCGAAAGAUUCUAUUCCAUUGCCAGUUAUUAAAGAGCCUAAUCAAUAUGUUCAAACUAUACUAAAACACCUACAAAAUCUUUUUGUACCAAGACAGGAACAGGGUUCCAGUCAGAUUCGACUAUGCUUACAGGUCCUGAGAGCCAUUCAGAAACUGGCCCGUGAGUCAUCUCUCAUGGCCCGAGAAACCUGGGAAGUCUUACUGUUGUUUCUUCUGCAGAUUAAUGACAUACUUCUGGCCCCACCAACUGUUCAAGGUGGCAUUGCUGAGAAUCUAGCAGAGAAGUUGAUUGGUGUUCUCUUUGAGGUGUGGUUACUAGCUUGUACUCGGUGCUUCCCAACACCUCCUUAUUGGAAAACAGCCAAGGAGAUGGUGGCUAACUGGAGGCAUCACCCAGCAGUGGUGGAGCAGUGGAGCAAGGUCAUUUGUGCGCUCACUUCCAGAUUGCUACGCUUUACAUAUGGUCCUUCAUUUCCUCCAUUUAAAGUUCCCGAUGAAGAUGCCAGUCUGAUCCCUCCAGAAAUGGAUAAUGAGUGUGUUGCACAGACAUGGUUUCGCUUUUUACACAUGUUAAGUAAUCCUGUGGAUUUGAGUAACCCAGCUAUUAUAAGCUCUACUCCCAAAUUUCAGGAACAGUUCUUGAAUGUGAGCGGAAUGCCGCAAGAAUUGAAUCAGUAUCCCUGCCUUAAACAUCUGCCUCAAAUAUUUUUUCGUGCCAUGCGUGGAAUCAGCUGUCUGGUGGAUGCAUUCUUAGGUAUUUCUAGACCCCGAUCAGACAGUGCUCCCCCAACACCUGUGAAUAGAUUAAGUAUGCCUCAAAGUGCUGCUGUCAGUACCACCCCACCACAUAACCGGAGGCACCGGGCUGUUACUGUGAAUAAGGCCACCAUGAAGACAAGCACAGUUAGUACUACUCAUGCCUCUAAAGUUCAGCACCAGACGUCCUCCACCUCUCCUCUGUCAAGUCCAAAUCAAACUAGUUCAGAACCCCGGCCACUGCCUGCCCCUCGGAGACCAAAGGUUAACAGCAUUUUGAAUCUCUUUGGAUCAUGGUUAUUUGAUGCAGCAUUUGUUCACUGUAAACUUCAUAAUGGGAUAAACAGAGACAGCAGCAUGACUGCAUCUUUUAUCCAAAUUCUUCUUUCUUAUAAAUCUUCCAUUACAACACAAGCUAGCAUGGAGUUUCGACGGAAAGGGUCACAAAUGUCCACAGACACCAUGGUUUCCAAUCCUAUGUUUGAUGCAAGUGAAUUUCCUGAUAACUAUGAAGCAGGAAGAGCUGAGGCUUGUGGGACACUGUGUAGGAUUUUUUGUAGCAAGAAGACUGGAGAAGAGAUUCUGCCAGCUUAUUUAUCCAGAUUUUACAUGCUUUUAAUUCAAGGUUUGCAGAUAAAUGAUUAUGUAUGCCAUCCUGUCUUGGCCAGCGUUAUUCUAAACUCUCCUCCUUUGUUCUGCUGUGACUUGAAAGGGAUUGAUGUUGUGGUUCCUUACUUUAUUUCAGCUCUUGAAACCAUUCUGCCUGACAGAGAACUCUCAAAAUUCAAAAGCUAUGUAAAUCCAACAGAAUUGCGAAGAUCCUCCAUUAAUAUCCUGCUUUCUUUGUUGCCCCUCCCUCAUCAUUUUGGCACAGUCAAAUCUGAGGUGGUCCUGGAAGGAAAGUUUAGUAACGAUGACAGCUCUUCUUAUGAUAAACCAAUAACUUUUCUAUCCCUGAAGUUGAGACUUGUGAAUAUAUUAAUAGGUGCCUUGCAAACUGAAACGGACCCCAACAACACCCAAAUGAUAUUAGGGGCAAUGUUAAAUAUUGUUCAAGAUUCAGCACUUUUGGAAGCUAUUGGUUGCCAGAUGGAGAUGGGUGGUGGAGAAAAUAACCUGAAGAGUCAUAGUCGCACCAAUAGUGGUAUUAGUUCAGCAAGUGGUGGAAGCACGGAGCCCACGACUCCGGAUAGUGAGAGACCUGCUCAAGCUCUCUUAAGAGAUUAUGGAUCGACAGCUCUUAAUACAGAUUCAGCUGCUGGGCUCCUGAUUCGCAGCAUUCAUCUCGUCACCCAAAGACUCAACUCCCAGUGGCGCCAAGACAUGAGCAUAUCACUGGCAGCUCUAGAGCUCCUCUCUGGCCUUGCAAAGGUAAAAGUGAUGGUUGACUCAGGAGACCGGAAGCGAGCCAUCAGUUCUGUGUGCACCUACAUUGUGUAUCAGUGUAGUCGGCCAGCUCCUUUACACUCCAGGGAUCUGCACUCCAUGAUAGUGGCAGCUUUUCAGUGUCUCUGUGUCUGGCUGACAGAGCACCCUGAUAUGCUUGACGAAAAGGACUGUCUUAAGGAAGUACUGGAGAUUGUGGAACUGGGUAUCUCAGGAAGUAAGUCCAGGAACAGCGAGCAAGAGGUCAAGUACAAAGGAGAUAAGGAGCCAAACCCUGCAUCUAUGAGGGUAAAGGAUGCUGCUGAAGCCACCCUAACAUGCAUUAUGCAGUUGCUUGGCGCAUUUCCGUCACCUAGUGGUCCUGCCUCUCCUUGUAGUCUUGUGAAUGAGACCACUUUGAUUAAAUACUCCAGGCUGCCAACCAUAAACAAGCAUAGUUUCCGGUACUUUGUCUUGGAUAACAGUGUCAUCCUGGCAAUGCUGGAACAACCUCUUGGAAAUGAGCAGAAUGAUUUUUUCCCCUCUGUCACUGUGCUGGUCCGGGGGAUGUCUGGAAGACUUGCUUGGGCACAACAGCUUUGUCUUUUACCCAGAGGAGCAAAAGCAAAUCAGAAGCUUUUUGUGCCUGAACCUCGCCCAGUUCCUAAAAAUGACGUUGGAUUUAAAUAUUCUGUGAAACAUCGGCCAUUUCCUGAAGAGGUGGACAAGAUUCCUUUUGUGAAAGCAGAUCUCAGCAUUCCAGAUUUGCAUGAAAUAGUCACUGAAGAAUUAGAAGAGAGACAUGAAAAAUUAAGGAGUGGCAUGGCCCAGCAGAUUGCUUAUGAAAUACACCUUGAGCAACAGAGUGAGGAGGAAUUGCAGAAGAGAAGUUUUCCUGACCCAGUUACGGAUUGCAAGCCCCCGCCUCCUGCCCAGGAAUUCCAAACAGCCCGCCUUUUUCUCUCACACUUUGGAUUUUUGUCCUUGGAAGCACUGAAGGAACCUGCAAAUAGUCGUCUACCUCCUCACCUUAUUGCACUUGAUUCCACGAUACCUGGAUUUUUUGAUGACAUUGGGUAUCUGGAUCUCUUGCCAUGUCGUCCUUUUGACACAGUUUUUAUUUUCUAUAUGAAGCCAGGUCAGAAAACGAACCAAGAGAUUUUAAAGAAUGUGGAGUCUUCCAGAACUGUUCAGCCACAUUUCCUAGAAUUUUUGCUUUCCCUUGGCUGGUCAGUAGAUGUGGGCAGACACCCUGGUUGGACUGGGCAUGUUUCUACCAGUUGGUCUAUUAAUUGUUGUGAUGAUGGUGAAGGAUCUCAACAAGAAGAAGUGAUUUCCUCUGAAGACAUUGGAGCUAGCAUUUUCAAUGGACAGAAGAAGGUGCUGUAUUAUGCUGAUGCCCUUACAGAAAUUGCUUUUGUGGUUCCUUCUCCUGUGGAGUCCUUAACUGAUUCAUUGGAAAGUAACAUCUCGGACCAAGAUAGUGAUUCAAAUAUGGAUCUUAUGCCAGGAAUUCUGAAACAGCCAUCCCUGACACUUGAGCUUUUCCCCAAUCAUACAGACAAUCUUAAUUCCUCACAGAGGCUCAGUCCCAGUUCCAGAAUGAGGAAGCUGCCUCAGGGUCGCCCUGUUCCUCCCCUUGGACCUGAGACAAGAGUUUCUGUAGUCUGGGUGGAACGCUAUGAUGAUAUAGAAAACUUUCCCCUCUCAGAGCUGAUGACAGAGAUCAGUACUGGUGUGGAAACUACUGCAAAUAGUAGCACUUCACUGAGAUCUACGACUCUUGAAAAAGAAGUUCCUGUCAUCUUCAUCCACCCUUUAAACACUGGAUUAUUCCGGAUAAAAAUUCAAGGAGCCAUUGGAAAAUUUAACAUGGUCAUCCCUCUUGUGGAUGGGAUGAUUGUCAGCAGGCGAGCUCUUGGCUUUCUGGUGAGGCAGACUGUAAUUAACAUUUGUAGAAGAAAGAGACUGGAAAGUGACUCCUACAGUCCCCCCCAUGUCCGCCGGAAACAGAAAAUCACCGACAUUGUCAACAAGUACCGGAACAAGCAGUUGGAGCCAGAGUUUUAUACUUCACUUUUCCAGGAGGUUGGACUCAAGAACUGCAGUUCUUAGACCACUGAAUUUCUAAGACUGUUGAACUCCAGUUUGGGAACUAUAACACAGCAGAACAGUUUGAUAGGUGAUCACUGUAAAAAUAAAAACAAAUCACUCCCAAGAGCUUACUGUUUAAUCACCAGAAUAGAAGAAACACAUUAUAACCCAUUUGAUAGAAGACUUUGGGCUAUCUAGUGAAAUGGGCUCCCAGACACAAUCAUACUCCUGCUGAUAAUGAUGAUAUACAUUUUAGCCAUAAACUUUCUUUUAAAAGUGACAAUUUUAGUUAAACAUAAGCCUUUUGAGGAGAAAGGCUUUUAUGCAUCUCAGUUAAACACGUGCAUUGGUAGUAUCAACAAAUUUGCAAUAUAGAAGUUGAAGAUAGUUUUAUACCUCACUUUUUAGGAGGUUGUAUUCAAAAUUAAAAUCUCAGAAUCUUACAGGACAUUUAAAGACUCAUGUUGAUAGCAUGGAGGAGAAGGAAAGAAGUCACAGCCUUCUACUCACUUGUAGGUCUUCUUGUCAUCCAGCUGUCACACUGACAAAAAGAAAAGAUGAUACAUGUUUUUUGCUCAGAUAAGAAGCCUGACUUUAAAAGAUGUCAUAUUUUUUUCUCCACAUUUCAAAAAGUUGUCCUUCUCAUCACUGCACAGAUCUGUCUGAAAGCCUCAGUUUCUGAGCAACCCAGGAACAGAUCAGAAAUGGAGCAUGGCCUUGUCCUUUAAUGGGGAUGCAAAUAAAGUUUGUGGGGUUAAAAGUUAUAAGACAGCAGUGAUACCCCCACUCUCUCCAUUAUUGUCCAGCGGGGUGACAUAAUGACAGGACCAAGCAGCAAACUGCAGUAGUUUAUGAAGGAUUCUAACAUGGGGUUCAGGAAUAGCCUCUCAACGCUACUAAUUCAGAUCUCUCCCAGAGAACUACUGGAUUUCCUCAUAAUUGACAAACAUGAGUGACCACCUCUUUGGGUGGCUACUGUAAGAAAUGGCUGUUGUCAUGUUUUCUGGACUUUGCCAGCCAACAGAUCCCUGCCAGGUUUUGGAAAUACUUCUGUUACCUCGCUGCUACUUUUCUGCAGGGAUAAAACUUUUGAGGUGGCCAGACCCAGAACAUCCAAGGAUUCCUGUUACAGUGCUAUAGUAUACACUGCUCAUUUAUCCUAUUCUCAUGUGCUUUCUUCUUUAGUAAGAUUAUUUUAUGUUAAGAAAAUAAGUGAUAUUUAAAGUCCAAAGAGGAACGAUCACAGUUGUAUAAGGGGUGUUUUCCCACUUGAACUCUGAUGUCAGUAGACUAUGGGUCAGAGCUACAACAAUCUGUUUGGUUUGAUGUUUUGGUGGUUUACUUAGGGAGUGGGGAUAGUGUGGGACCUAAUUCCCUGUGCAAAUGUCUCUUAUUCCAGAAAUGUGCAUUUUGCCAUCUGUAAGCAAGAAAUACGGGCAUAGCAGCUCUUGGUUUAAAGUUUGCCAUAACUUGUUCUUCAUGUUUGUUUUAAGCUCAGGUAAAGAUAACCUCCUCUUUCUAUGACUCCAGUUUCCAUUCAGGUUAUAGUAUUAUUCAGUAGUUGAUUUUCUUUUUAAGGGCAAUAAAUUGAUGUUUCCAGGUGGUAGCAUGGGAGAGGGCAUAUGGGAUAAAGAUGAGCAAAUUCUACCCUAAAAAUGUUCUAGUAGUUCACAGGAAGAAGAUGAGGUUUAAUAACUUUCAAGGUAAUUCUAGAUUGACAUUUUGAGGGGAAAAUGGGCUCUUGUUCUAGUUGAAGUGAGCAGAGAAGGCUAUAAAUUAAUAUGUAACUUAACAGCAUUCCAGAGGUUAAAAAUAACUGAUGUAGAUGUACUUCUUCAGUGUGAUUCGUCAGAUCAAACUUUUACCUUUGGCAUAGUUAAUUUCAGAAAAAUGUGCUGUGUGUGUGUGUGUAUGAGGGUUGGGCUUGCUGAUCCUUCAGUUAGCUCUAAUUUCUGGCAACUCCUUGUAAUUCCAAUGUAUUUGAUACAUGAACAAUCAUGUUGAAUGCAUUUGUGAUCUGGGAGACUCCCUCGUCUUCCAGGGAAGGAAGGAUGUGCAGCCCCCGAAGGCAUGAAACUCCCAGUGCGUACGGAGCCAGUGGAAUAUGGGAUACCCAUACCUUACCAGGCGCUGGUUCCUUCUGCUCAAAAUAACAUCUGCCCAAAGAGGGAGUGGGAAGAACCCUUAGCUCUUUCACUAGUAUGGAUUUGAGUUUGUGGUCACUAUUUUUACCCACCUGCCUGUGUUAAAAAUCACUUUGAGUAGAAUAGCACUGGAGGAACAUAUUUAAUACCUAAUAUUAAUAUUUAGUAGUCCAUUGAUAAAUUUGCCAGCAUAUGUUCUAGCCUCUGGGGGGAAGCCAGGACCACUUUUGUCUGUGGCGUAAACAGUUCAGUUGCUAUAUCUGUUGGGUAUGCCGGGGGGUGGAUGAGUGUGGCAUUCUGUGAAGAGGAAGGUGGUAAGUAAGGUUGCCCUUCUACUGCCUUCUUAAGUUGCAGGAGGGAGCUUUUCUCCUCCCCUUUGGUUGGGAGCACUGAGGACAGUGAGGAGGGCUUUUACCUUGUUAAUCCUUUCCUUAUUUAGCUAGCUUUCCUUUUUGUCUAGGGCUUCCUCCGAGACCCUCUUCCAUCCAUUGGGCCUUUGAAAGGGCUAAUCAGACACACACACACACACACACACACACUCACACAUGCACAUUUUCCUUCAUUUCCAGAUCGUUUAUUUCAGGGCAGUCCAUUUUCCUCUGGAUUCAUUGAUAAAUACAAGUACCACACCUUUGGCCAGUAAUGUCAGUUACCUGCUGCAGGUUCUGUGUAUGAGGCCUUCAUGAACGGUUACCUUCUCCAUACACUAGGGAAGCAUUUGUCAGACUCUGCAGACUGGGUUCUAGAGAGGCAGAGUCUUUAUUCAUUUCUUCUGGAAGAUGGAGCUUUACCCAAAGUGGAAGUUAGCCUUGCUCAAAGAUGUGUUUUGUGGUAGAUAGUUAAAAAAGAAAAAAAAAGAAACACGUAUUAGAGGUAAUUUGACACUCCUGCUGGCAGUAGUUCUGUAUUCACCAUUUUAAAGCCCAUUCAGGUUCUCUCUUCCUGAAAAGAACUGAUUGCUGUGUUUACAUGAAAUGACACUGGAGUCAGAUGGUCUGUUUUAAAGAUUUCCAUGACAGCCUCUUUUCCUGAGUUGGAGAGAUUGGAGGUGGUUCAUCCGUACGAUGUGGAAUCAAACGGUGGGUUUCUUAGUAGCUAAAGAAGCCAUGUACUUACAGUGUUUUUCUCAGAAUAUCAACUCAUGUUCUUCAGAUGCUUUUCUUUUUUUAAUGGUGAGGGAAAAGGUAUAAUUUGGGAUUCCACAGUGCCUUGCAUAUAGUAGGCGCCCAAUAAAUACUUGUUGAAGCAAACCAAGUUUCCCAAGUCCUCAUCUCUUACAGUGACCAAGACAUCUUUCUCCUCUGAAGGGCUUGGCAGUUGUGGCUAAAAAAUAAGCAGUAUCAUUAUUUGCUUGAAAUCAUAUAUACAGUUUGUAUGAAUUUCAGUAUGUUGCCAAGACAUGAUCUUUUUCUUAUUGUAUUUUCUGUAAAUAUUUCCGGCACUGAACUGUAAAGUAAAGGCAAAGUGUAAAUAUGAAGGCGUGCCCGUACCCCUUGCCUCCUGUGUUUCAUCUUCGUCAGUUAGGGAAGAAGGUCCAGAGGUUUGUUUGUAUUUAUGCUGAUCCUUUGUCCAGAAGAAGCCCAUGAAAUAUUGAAUGUAAUACAUUUAGUCAAUUAAAUUUUAAGGAGAUUCUUAUCUAA